AACCUUAUGGACCUGCGGGCGUAUACCUGCGGAGGGAUCAUUACUGUAGGGACCUCGGUCCUUCCAAGAUGCAACCCUUGCCUUUUUUUUCAGCGUCUCUCCGUUUCCUCGGCAGCUCCGCCUGCCAGCGAGGACCCCUUGAAAACCUCUUGCAAUCCCGUAAAAACUUCUGAAAAUACGCAAAAACUUCAAAACUUUUAACAAUGGAUCU
rnacentral:misc_RNA from 1 species